rnacentral:rRNA from 1 species
UACAGAGGUCCCAAGCGUUGUUCGGAUUCACUGGGCGUAAAGGGUGCGUAGGUGGCCAGGUAAGUCGGAUGUGAAAGCUCGGAGCUCAACUCCGAAAUGGCAUUGGAAACUGCCUGGCUCGAGGGUUGGAGGGGGGACGUGGAAUACUUGGUGUAGCAGUGAAAUGCGUAGAUAUCAAGUGGAACACCAGUGGCGAAAGGCGAGUCCCUAGACAACUCCUGACCACUGAGGCACGAAAGCUAGGGGGAAGCAA